GCUCCAGUUUCCGGUGUCUAGCCGCCCCCAAGCGGGGGGACACUGAGGGGCUGCGGUUUGAGGCUGCAGAAGGGCCGGCAGCCUCGCACCCUAGCCUCAGAAGAAGGGCUCUCGCUCGCAUAGUGGUGGGCGGUGGGCUGGGUCAGCACCAGGGCCUGAGAUCCGUUUUAAGGGGGCGGCUGUGGGCGUGUACCAGCUUGUGGGCGGAACCAAGCCUGGAGGGCAGGGUUGUGGGCGGACACCCAUUUCGGAACCGGACUGAGGGCGGCACCGGAUCUUGCGGAUCUUGCGGACGGUUACUAGUCUCCUAGCCUGAAGGUAGGUGGAGACCAAUUCCGAGGGCCGGUGUAAGGCGGGUUGGGGCUGGGUUGGCAGUGCAGGAGGAGUGUGGGAGAAAAACAGCCCCUUGAAGGCGGGACUUUCCACGGAUUCCCCAGGCUGUACAAAUAUAUGAACGCUGAAACAACUUUUCUUCAAUCCUUCCUACUUGCGGAGCCUCACACAUGGUACUAUUCUCACUCCCAUAUCUCCCAGUCCUUUUUUGUCUGGAGAUAAACAUCAUUUUCUCCUUUAUCCUUCCAGAUAGGUCAAGUAAGUGUGUGUGUGUGUGUGUGUGUGUGUGUGUGUAUACAAGCCGAAGAAGGAUGGUCCCACGCAGAAACUAAAAUCUGAUGAAUUGUCUCAUGCAUCUGAAUCUACUGAAAAGAGAUUUAAAUCUAUGCUGGAGGGAGAUGGACCAGUGAUUAAUUGAUAGGAAUAAAACAAAGAAAUGAGAAUUUAUCGGUUUGAACAUCCAAAGAAAAAAUGAGAAAGAGAAUGUAUUCAUAAUAUCCUACACGAUGCAUCUAGAUCAGAUUCAUAUAUCACAAAAUGAUAAAUAUUUAGAUAAUAAAACAAUAGACAUUGACUUUUGACUUAUCCUAAUUUAUUAUAUAAUUAUAUUAUGCAAGGAGAAUUAUGGUUUAAGAUAAUAAGAGAACUAUAUACCCAUAUUUUUCGGAGAAGAAAACAAAAAAAAGCUGAAAAAUAUAUAAGUAGCUAAUUUAGAAAUACAGAGUUACGGAAAACAAAGUUUUUUGUGGGGGGUCACAGUAAGGACUGGGGGAUGUAGCUUUUCAGAAGGCAUAAGGUAUUAUUUGAGUUUUAUAUGUAUAGACACACACACACAGAAACCUGAAUUUAUAUUUUAAAGGGAUUAUCAAACUCUAGGAAAAACUUUUAAAAAGGUUCACUUUGCAAAAAUAGAAUGUAUUUUGAGAACCACAGAUUUCAACCAUUUAGAAAAAAUCCUAUAAUCACGCUGAUGGAAAAAUGAAUAGGAUAUUACUUUCCACAGUUCCUAGUAACAAGCAUUUUAUGAAUAUUUUCACAGCAAUCCAUAGGGAAGUUGCUAUUAUCUGUCUCCAUUUCACAAAUGAAGAAAUUGAUGGCAGCGUUUUGGAACAUGUUCAUAUUUCAUUCAAGUUGUCAGUAGAUAUCAUUUUAUUUCAAAAUUGUUUAUCAAACUUUAUUUUCAUUAAUAAAUGUUAUUCUAACAUAAACAAAGAGUAUGUAAAAAUGGUUUCAUAAAAUAUAGUUUUCUUUUGUUGUAGUUAAAUAUAUCGAUCGCAUUAUUAUUUUUUCUGCUUUCUGCCUCAUAUCUAGGAAGAUAUUUCCUAUACUAAAUGUUUACUAGUAAACUUUAGUAAGUAUUCAAGAAUUGGGAAAAUCCAAACUUCCUAAACAUGCACACAAAAAAAUAUUAUAAUAAAAUAUUUGAU
rnacentral:lncRNA from 1 species